UGAAGAAGUAUUGUAAUUCCACACAUCGCUCCCUCUGAAAUAGUAAUGGUGAACCCAUCGAACCCAUAGAGAAUCUUUCUUACAAUGAAAGUCCCACAGGAUAUGGGAAAGAAGCGCAAGGUUCCAGUCCUUGAGAUUAAAAAGGCCUAAACCCCCUUCUUUUUUCGGAGAACAAACUACUGACCAAGCAACCAAGGGAUUGUUUUUGCCAACAUCCGCUUUGCCCCACAGAAAAUUACGGCACGAAGUGUUGAUCCGGUCUAGAACAGAUUGCGGCAAAGGAAAAAUCCCCAUCCAGAAAUUCACAAUUCCUUGAAUAACUGCUCUGAUCAACUCUAACUUACUUGCAUAAGAUAAAGACUUCUUGCUCCAUCCCUGAAUCAGGCCAGUAAUCUUGGAAAGCAAGGGAGCAUAAUGACAUACAUUUAAUCUAGAUGAUAAAAGUGGAACACCCAAGUAUCUAAAAGGGAAGUCACCCAAGCUAAAUCCAGUAAGCUGUUGAAUAUGAGAAAGCUCAUGAGGCCUAAUACCGACUGAGUAUAUGGCAGAUUUAUCAGAGCUGAUGGAAAGCCCUGAAACCCUACAGAAGUGCUGAAGCUUGGCAAACAUAGUUGACACAGAAGGGAUAUCUCCUCUAGAUAGAAGCAUAAUAUCAUCUGCAAAAGCCAAAUGAGAUAGCUGAAUACCUGCACAGUUGGGAUGAAAUUUAAAAUUGGCAUCAUCCUUGAGGCUGCUCAUAUCUUUGGAAAAGUACUCCAAACAGAGCACAAACAGAUAAGGGGAGAGAGGAUCCCCUUAUCUAAGACCCCGCUGCCCUUUGAAGUGACCAUAAAUGGAUCCAUUGACUGCCACACUAAAGGAAGUGGAAGAAACACAUUCCAUGAUCCAAGUACAGAACUGGGCUGGGAAGCCAAUGGACUUAAGCAUCCAAUCCAAGAAUUCCCAGGAAAUGGAAUCAUAAGCUUUAUGCAAGUCAAUUUUCAGGAGGCAUCUCGGAGAGGAUCUUUUCCGGGCAUAUUUGCGCAAAAUCUCUUGAACUAGGAAGAUGUUGUCCAUCAUCUUUUUGUUCUUAAUGAAAGCAGUUUGAGUUUCCCCAAUAAUAGUCUCAAGCACUGGGGCUAUGCAGUUGGCCAGAAUUUUAGAUACAAUCUUGUAUAACAAAUUACAGCAAGAUAUCGGUCUAAAAUGGUUAACCUGGGAGGCCUAAUCAUGCUUAGGAAUAAGCGCAAUAAUAGCACGGUUGAGCUGCUUUAGAAUUUUUCCAGUUGUAAAGAAUUCAUUAACCGCUGCAAAGAUAUCAUCACCAAUGAUAUUCCAAGCCUUCUUGAAGAAUAAAACAUUGAAACCAUCUGGCCCAGGAGCUUUAUUGUUAUCCAUCACAGAAAUAACAUUCCAAACCUCUUGCUUAGAAGUAGGACAAAGUAAGGCCGCAAAGCAAUCGGUGGGAACCUUAGGACCCCUGUUGCAGAUCGAAAUGGAAGGAGUUUAGGUCAGCUCAUGAGCACUAAACAAAUUAUUUUUGGUUUCUUUUACUGCAUGCUUGCUUUUAUAUUUUGUGCUUUGUUGGUGUGCUUCUUAGAUGAUCAUCACAGUCAAAAUCACAUUAUUGUGUUGUUCUCCAAUGCGGAAAUUAGGGAAGGUCAGUGUAUACUGUCAUAUAGAGAUUGUUGUUUUCCCUGUUUACCCCAUGGAGUUGAUGCUUUUCUUUCUGAUUGAUACAAGAUCCUACCCAUACUUAACUAGCAAUUCCUUUAAGUCAAUUAUGAGAUUAACUACCUUUCUGGGGAUGCUGACCAUCAUUAGCCAACAAUUCUUUUGAGUCAAUUAUGUUAAAGGAUGCAUUUCUUUCAGGAGCUCAGUCCCAGAGUGUUUGUUGAGAUUAAUUGCAUUCCUUUGAAACAGCGAUUGAGACUGCACACCUGCCAACCAAAUGAUCCUGCCAUUAAUUCAAACUUUGGGAAAAUGCAAUAAUUUAAUUCAUGCAAUUUGCUACUUCAGCUUCUAGUGACAUGCCAAAGGACAACUUAUAUACCAAAGGACGUAGAAGCUUCACAACAUUCCUGGAUUUUCAUGUCUUGGUGUUUUUCCUGAAGUACCAUUAACUUCUGACUGUCCCAAAGAUGAGCAUAACAUCACCAGAGCCGCCUAAACAACUUUAAUUUUCUUAGCUUUUGUUUUUAGUAAACUGCUUCUCUCCACACCAAAUGGUUGUUGUAACUGCAAUUAUCAUGUCUGUGUUAUUGCAGAUGAGGAAUCCCAUUAUGAGCCAACACUGCAUGUUACAAUUUAUUGCCACAUUCCACAAC